rnacentral:lncRNA from 1 species
GUAGAUUCAUAUCAAAAACCAACUGUCAAACAUCCAUAAUCGAUUAGCAUUUUCUUUUCAGUUUUGAUUAUAACAGAAAUUAUGAAUCCAAUUACUCUCUAGAAAGCAAGAAGACAAUGUUAGCUUGAUAGCAUCUCAUGAUACGAUUAAAACAAACAUAACUCGAACAUGCAUCUAAAUGCUCUGUCAAUGUAACAAGUAACAAUGUAGGAAACAUCUAACAAAUUGCAAAAGCUCCUAACUAACACCACAAAAUCAAAACCUGUGCUUCUUCUAUCAACUAAGCCGAAACGAUCAUCACAGUUGCUGGAGAAGAAAUAUUGAACAAACAACCUUUAUUUUAUUUUUCAUUACAAUAAAUGAUGUAGGUUGCUGGAGAAGAAAUAUUGAACAAACAACAAAGAAAAAAGAAGAAGCUUACUCUCUAAGCUCAUCAGCAGUGAGCUCAUCGUUUCUGAAAACUUCGAAUUCAACCUAGCUCUGCCAUAUACUGUGGAACACCAAAUGAGUAGCAAAAAAUAAAAUCGAAGCAUUAUUAUAUCUUAUGUAAUGUAAUUACUAAUUAAGAAUAAUGAAUCUAUAAAAUAACGAAAGAAAUUGAUAAGAAAAUACUUCCCUGGCCAUUUAAUAAUAGAAACUCAUAUCUAUUGCUAUCCACAAAUACCCACUAUAGAAUAUUAGAGGAAAGCUAGUGAAAUAUCUUACCCUAAUCCGUAGACGGUCAGCAACCUCAGAUUAUUCAUCAUAUACCUCAUCAAUUACCUGCAACAGUUCACAGAAGAAACAAGAAGUUCACAAACAUUAAAUAUCUUCGUGAUAAUCGGAAAAUCAAAACUACUGCAAGGUUCAAGAACAAGAAUUUCAUUCAAGGAAAUAUAGCAUAACAUAGUUACAAGCAUUCGAAAUUUGCAAGCUAAACUAUCAAUUGAUUAUAUAAGGUUCACAAAAAUCUACAUUACCUUCUCCUCUAUGGAAGAUCAGUUUGUAUUUUGUAAGCUUUAAGGCAACCAUUGGUAACCUACAUUUCAUCGAAUAGUUGGUGUACUAAUCAGUUCAUAUUUUGCUCAAUCUCCAUAGUUAAUACAACUACCAAUUUGCCUAGAUUUAUCACUUCAUUAAAAAACUACAUUAGAAUUUUCACUAACCAUCAAAUUAUCCUUCCCUUAGCAGCCGCAUGAGCAGAGGUCAGUUUUCUUCUUCUUUUUUUUGCCUUUGUGUAAUUCGCUUCACUGGCGUUCAGUUUCCUGAGCCUCUGCCUCUGAAUUGUUUCCACCUGCACAAAUAUGUCGAAGUUCUCCAUCAACAAUUGACUGCAUUCUAGACUCAAAAUAUAUAAAAGAUUUAUUAAUCACCCUAUUCACUUUGUGGCGGAAAAUGUCGUGCCGAUCAAUCAGAUUGAUUUUGAGGUCAUUCUGCAAAUAGAAUCUAGAAACUAGAAUAUGAGAGAGAGAGAGAGAGAGAGAGCUUACCGGAGGUGGGGUGGUGAACGGGAGCCGCGAAAGAGAAGAACGACAGCCUUGACUAGGGCUUUUAAUUUGGGGAUGAGAAAUAUUCUGAGAAGAAAGCCGGCAAGCCGGCAGCGGUAUAAUUGUAGUUUUAUCUUACAGACUAGACCAUUUACCGAGGGAAAUAAAUCACUCGGUAAAAUUAAAACUAUAAAUCUAAAACUAAUUUAAUCUGAUUAAAAAUUAAAGAGACAUUUACCGAGGGAAUGAUUCUCUCGGUAAAAUAUUCACUCGGUAUUCCCUCAGUAAACCUGCAAAUACAUUAAUUCUCGGAAAAUUCUCGCCAAAUACUCGUUAUUUACCGAGUGAAAUAACUCCGUCGGCAAUUCCUCGGUAAAAAGAUGUUUUUUUG